CAAUUUACAAACAAACUUGCUUCCAUUCUGCCAACAAAGUAUUCCCAGCUUGGGAAUGAUGGGUUGCUAGCCUUUGUGGAGAACUUUGUGAAAGACCACCUUUUGCCAACCAUGUUUGUUGACUACCGGAAAAGCGUACAACAAGCAAUAUCGAACAAGUUCUAUAACCAUAUAGCUCCCUCAAUUAUUAAUCUUCUUUUUUAUAUUAAUCAUAUGCUAUUAUAUUUUUCAAUAUUUAGCAUAUUAAGAUG